rnacentral:rRNA from 1 species
CCAAGGAGUUUAGCGUGUACGCGAGUCAUUGGGUGACAAAACUCAAAGGCGGAAUGAAAGUGAAGGAAAGCUUGCUCUCCGAGGGAGGAUGGGGUCGAGUUCUUUCCAAGAACUUCCUCGCACUCCUGGGGCGUCUCCAUCUCAUCAUGAGAGGAGGCGCACCUAGAGCGUACACGCUGAUACCCGAAAGAUGGUGAACUAUGCCUGGCCAGGACGAAGCCAGGGGAAACCCUGGUGGAGGUCCGCAGCGAUUCUGACGUGCAAAUCGAUCGUCGGAGCUGGGUUUAGGGGCGAAAGACCAAUCGAACCAUCUAGUAGCUGGUUCCCUCUGAAGUUUCCCUCAGGAUAGCUUGCGCUCGGAAUUGACGAGUCUCAUCCGGUAGAGCGAAUGAUUAGAGGCCUUGGGGUCGAAACGACCUCAACCUAUUCUCAAACUCCAAAUAGAUGAGAACCCCUGCUUUCUUGAAAUUUAUUUCUAUGAAGCCGGGGGCUCGGAUCAGAGUGCCAAGUGGGCCAAUUUU